rnacentral:rRNA from 1 species
CCUACGGGGGACUGCAGUGGGGAAUAUUGGGCAAUGGGCGCAAGCCUGACCCAGCAACGCCGCGUGAAGGAAGAAGGCUUUCGGGUUGUAAACUUCUUUUCUCAGGGACGAAGAAAGUGACGGUACCUGAGGAAUAAGCCACGGCUAACUACGUGCCAGCAGCCGCGGUAAUACGUAGGUGGCAAGCGUUAUCCGGAUUUAUUGGGUGUAAAGGGCGUGUAGGCGGGGGCGCAAGUCAGAUGUGAAAACGCAGGGCUAACCGCUGAGCCUGCAUUUGAAACUGUGUUGCUUGAGUGCUGGAGAGGUAAUCGGAAUGCCGGGUGUAGCGGUGAAAUGCGUAGAUAUACGAAGGAACACCGGUGGCGAAGGCAGAUUACUGGACAGUAACUGACGCUGAGGCGCGAAAGCGUGGGGAGCAAACAGGAUUAGAUACCCUUGUAGUC